rnacentral:misc_RNA from 1 species
AGCAGCCGCGGUAAUUCCAGCUCCAAUAGCGUAUAUUAAAGUUGUUGCAGUUAAAAAGCUCGUAGUUGAAUUUCGGGGUCAGUAGAUUGGUCGUGCCACUGGUAUGUACUGGUCUUACUGGCUCCUCCUUCCUGAUGGACCGUAAUGCCAUUAAUUUGGUGUUGCGGGGAGACUGGACUGUUACUUUGAAAAAUUAGAGUGUUUAAAGCAGGCUAACGCUUGAAUACAUUAGCAUGGAAUAAUGAAAUAGGACGUUCGAUCUUAUUUUGUUGGUUUCUAAGAUUGACGUAAUGAUUAAUAGGGAUAGUUGGGGGCAUUAGUAUUCAAUUGUCAGAGGUGAAAUUCUUGGAUUUAUUGAAGACUAACUACUGCGAAAGCAUUUGCCAAGGAUGUUUUCAUUAAUCAAGAACGAAAGUUAGGGGAUCGAAGACGAUCAGAUACCGUCGUAGUCUUAACCAUAAACUAUGCCGACUAGGGAUCGGAUGAUGUUAAUUUUUAAUGACUCAUUCGGCGCCUUAAC